GAUGAACGCUGGCGGCGUGCCUAAUACAUGCAAGUCGAGCGAACAGACGAGGAGCUUGCUCCUCUGACGUUAGCGGCGGACGUGUGAGUAACACGUGGAUAACCUACCUAUAAGACUGGGAUAACUUCGGGAAACCGGAGCUAAUACCGGAUAAUAUAUUGAACCGCAUGGUUCAAUAGUGAAAGACGGUUUUGCUGUCACUUAUAGAUGGAUCCGCGCCGCAUUAGCUAGUUGGUAAGGUAACGGCUUACCAAGGCAACGAUGCGUAGCCGACCUGAGAGGGUGAUCGGCCACACUGGGACUGAGACACGGUCCAGACUCCUACGGGAGGCAGCAGUAGGGAAUCUUCCGAAAUGGGCGAAAGCCUGACGGAGCAACGCCGCGUGAGUGAUGAAGGUCUUCGGAUCGUAAAACUCUGUUAUUAGGGAAGAACAAAUGUGUAAGUAACUAUGCACGUCUUGACGGUACCUAAUCAGAAAGCAACGGCUAACUACGUG
rnacentral:rRNA from 1 species